GUCCAAAGUUUCUGACAAUUUAUUGGUUGUAACAAUGAUUUUUAUGCUUUAAAACUUACCAAAGGCAUGAUGAAACUCUGCUCUCAAGGUGAUUACAUUUUUAUGACUUUCUUGAUUUGUUGGGCUUUUGUUCUGUUCUAAAAAUUUAAAUAAUCCAUCUUACAGUCUCUGUCUUAUUGCAGUUAGAAGUAUUGAGGAAACGUUUUACAAUAGAAUUGAGAGCAUUGAAAACAUACUUAUUUGUUAUGGAUUCAAUAAAAUACAAAUCUAAUAUUGUUGAAAUAAAAGAAGCUGUUGGCACAUGUAUGAAUGAUAAAUGUCCAAUUUCUUGUCUUUAUAAAAAAGAUGAACAAACUAAAAGGAGUGUUAAAUCAUAUUAAUCAUGAAUUUAUUUUCUUACCAUAGUUGGCUUCAAUGUUUUCUGCUUCUGACUCAACUGAUUCCACAAUGCAGUUGUCAUUGCUGAACUGUGAGGUGGCUAGUGGUGUCAAGUCUGAAGAAAUUUGGCUUCAAUGUUUUCUGCUUCUGACUGAACUGAUUCCAUAAUGCUGUUGUCAUUGCUAAACUGUGAGGUGGCUAGUGGUGCCAAAUCUGAAGAAAUGUAAGAUAUUGCUAUAUGUCUAGUUUAUAAGACCUACAUUUUUUCUACACAAUUUUUUUUAGAAAUCGGGCGGGAAAAAAUGGUUGUGGAAAUGUCAGUCGAACAGUGAGAUAUUGUUAUAUCUAUAUAUAUAUAAGUUUAUAAAACCAUUUUUUUUUCUUUAAGAAAAAAUGGUGGACGGUAUGAAAUCAAUGUUUAAAUGACAGUAGAACAGUAACCAAUCAACACAACAAUACACAUUGACUUCUAAGGGUAAAAAUAAUCAUUGAAAUCAUUGUUUUUGGUAUGUUGUAAUUUAGUAGUUAAAUAUACUAUGUUUUAAUAUUUUUACAGAGCAAAUGAAUUUUUCUAAUAUUAUUUUUUUUCUUACCAUUGUUGGUUUCUAUGUUGGACGUUACCAGCUCAUCUGAUCCCAUAAUGCUGUUUUCAUUGCUUGACUGAGUGGUUGGAAGUGGUGUCAAGUCUAAAAAGAUGGAAGUAGACCUUAUAUGGGAAAGAUUUGGACCUUCUGGACGGUAAGCCUCAUCCUGUACACUGUCAUGGAAAACUACAUCUUCAACAUCAAAGUGCCACCAUACAUUUUCACCUGGUAGGAGGAAUGCAGCAAUUCUGGAAAGAUGACAUUGAACUAAUGAAAAUUUGUCCUUUAUGAAAUUCUGUGGUAAUGUUGUCCUGGAUGUAGGUGGUAAUGACUUGGCCAGUUGACUAAUUUCAGAUUCCUGUUUCUGUGAGGAAUCUGCUCUGUCAUCAUCAUCUUCCUGGGCCCUGUACCUAAUAAUAGCAUUUUCUAUGAUGUAUCCAGCUUUCCUGUUGGAAGUGUUUUCUGAAAUUCUUUUCAGACUACCAAAUGAUCUUUCUGAAUCUUCUGUUAGAAUAGAUUUAGCGUUGAUCAUUCUGUAAGCUUCUGGAAGGUGUGUUACAGUGCUAUGAAAAUGGUUUCCAUAAAAUUUCCGUGAUGUCAUCUUGACGGGGUUAGCUAUGAUGGAUCUUGAAAGAGUGGCAAAGAGAAAAGUAGAAUUGAAUAGUCUCAGAAUCUGACGAGGAGAUCUGCUGGCUUCAGAGCUAUAUGCGAUGUGUACAAUAUCUACAAGUGCCUCUAGCAUUGUUUUCCAUUCUUGUGGGACUUUUUUUUGUGUAAAUAGGGACUGGAUGAAUAUGCAGAGUUUAAUAGCAAGUUUACGGGCAUCAGCAUCUU